rfam:Kurthia sp. 11kri321, complete genome.
GGCGGCAUAGCCAAGUGGUAAGGCACAGGUCUGCAACACCUUUAUCACCGGUUCAAAUCCGGUUGCCGCCU